rnacentral:rRNA from 1 species
GAUGAACGCUGGCGGCGUGCCUAAUACAUGCAAGUCGAGCGAAUGGAUUAAGAGCUUGCUCUUAUGAAGUUAGCGGCGGACGGGUGAGUAACACGUGGGUAACCUGCCCAUAAGACUGGGAUAACUCCGGGAAACCGGGGCUAAUACCGGAUAACAUUUUGAACCGCAUGGUUCGAAAUUGAAAGGCGGCUUCGGCUGUCACUUAUGGAUGGACCAGCGUCGCAUUAGCUAGUCGGUGAGGUAACGGCUCACCAAGGCAACGAUGCGUAGCCGACCUGAGAGGGUGAUCGGCCACACUGGGACUGAGACACGGCCCAGACUCCUACGGGAGGCAGCAGUAGGGAAUCUUCCGCAAUGGACGAAAGUCUGACGGAGCAACGCCGCGUGAGUGAUGAAGGCUUUCGGGUCGUAAAACUCUGUUGUUAGGGAAGAACAAGUGCUAGUUGAAUAAGCUGGCACCUUGACGGUACCUAACCAGAAAGCCACGGUUAACUACGUGCCAGCAGCCGCAGUAA